GACAGAGGGUGCAAACGUUGUUCGGAAUUACUGGGCGUAAAGCGCGUGUAGGCGGCUAAGUAAGUCGGGCGUGAAAUCCCACGGCUCAACCGUGGAAGUGCACUCGAAACUGCGUAGCUAGAGUCCUGGAGAGGAAGGUGGAAUGCUUGGUGUAGAGGUGAAAUUCGUAGAUAUUCGGAAGAACACCAGUGGCGAAGGCGACUUACUGGUCCGUGACUGACGCUGAGGCUCGAAAGCGUGGGGAGCAAACAGG
rnacentral:rRNA from 1 species